AAAGAAUGAAAUUUUGCUAUUUGUAGCAACAUGGGUGAAAAUGGAGGGCAUUAUGCUAAGUGAAAUAUGUCAGAAAAAGAUAAAUACUAUAUGAUAUCACUUAUACUUGGCAUCUAAAACAUAUAACUAGUAAAUACAAUAAAAAAGAAGCAGACUCACAAAUAUAGAGAACAAACUGGGGUUACCAGUGGGAAGAGAGAAGGAGGGGGGGAAUAUAGGGGUAGAGGAGUAAGAGGUACAAACUACUAGACAUAAUAUAAGCUACAAGGUAUGUUGUACAACAUGGGAAAUAUAGCCAAUGUUUUAUAGUAACUAUAAAUGGAGUUUAACCUUUAAAAAUAAAAUAAGAAUUAAACAAAGCCCCAUCAGACAGUGACUCAUGAGAUAUCAGCCUCUUUUCCAUUCUAGACUGUACCAUUUUUACAUACAUUUUCUAGCUAAAAUUUUGAAGUAAUUUACUUUCAGUCACUAAUCUUAUAUUCUUUGUUUUUUAGUGGCUCAUGUAACAUUGUAGAAAUUUUGAAAUAAAAUUAAUUGUCUUACUCUUUCUUUCACAGGAAAUCUCCAUCUGAGGGGGAAAGAAUGGACUUGUCCUGCUCUGCUACAAAAUUGUAAGUUCAGUAUGAUUUUAACUCUAUUUUUAAAAAGUAAUUAGCGUAUUAGAUGAAAGUAAGGUGAUUGAGGGAAUGGGCAUUGAACUCAGACCCUCUGGGUUUGAGUGCCAUUUUUAGCAAUUACAAGCUGUGUGACUCUUGACAAAUGACUCAGCUACUCUGUGCCUUAAUUUCAACUAUAGAUAGAGAUAAUAGUGCUUACUUCAUUGUUGUGAGGAUUUAAACAAGCUAAUGCACAAAGGUCUUGGUGAAGUGCCUGGCACUUAGAAGUUUCUCAAUAAAUGUCAGCUAUUAUUAUUUCCAAGUAGUGGGACAAUAAGUGAUUUUGUUCUUUUAAUUUUCUAAAACAAAUUUUAAUAUGGCUAUGAUAUGUGUUAUGACAGAAACUAAGGUUAUAAAUAUAAAACAGAAAAAACUGUCCCUCUUUGAAAACUGGAAAUUUGAAAAAUUUGAAAAUCUCCUCCUUUUCUCAAAUCCAACAUCAGCCAAACUGAUGUUCAAUUUGAGUGGAAUAGUAUGUUAAAAAGGGGGAGAGAAGGGAGAGGAACAAAAGGAUAAAAUUGUUCUAGCCACUCUUCUUGAUAAACCCAUUCUCCAUUCUUCCUUCUCAACUGACUGUCACAAUGACUUUCUGUACCAAAUAAAAGAGAGAGAAGAUGCAGUUUCUCCUUGAAACCUUCCCAAAUGUCAGUGGGAUAACAGUUGAAUCUCCUGCCAACCCUUCUAUCUCACCAUCACUCUGUUGGGUCAGUCAUUUUUAGUGUACUGAUAUGUAAACAGCUAUGACUUGCUCUCACUCUUUGUAAGAUCAUUAGAAAGAUUCUCUGUUUAAAAUGAACAAUUUAAAAUGUUACAGCUUUCUUCAGGCCUUUUGCUUUAGAGAAUGGCAGAAUGGAGUUCUGAGUCCAGGCUUUCACCUUGCCCUGACAGUUCAAUCAAUUAACCAGCAAAUAGUUAUUGAAUGCCUACGCUGUGCCCGGGUUAUAAUGUUCUGACCUGACUAGGUCACUCUUCUUCCAGAUUGUCCUACCCAGUCCCUUUUCAGAUGUCAAUGGAUCAUGGCUAGGCUCAGCUGAAAGAGCCAUGUCUGAGCCCCUGGGAUGUUCUGGCCAUUUCUGAGCCACCACGAUUAUCCAUGGGGAUUAGAGGUGAGGACAGUUGGUGGGGUGCAGAGGCAGUAUCCAUUUCAAAUACAGACACUUAAAUGUGGGCUCAGGUAGAACCAACUGUGUUGGCAAAAUUGAGUAAUUUUUAGUGCUUCUAUCAGAAGUCUGGCAUUCUGGAAACCUGCUCACCUGACUGGAGGGCUUGGAAGGUGAAAGUUGGUUUAAAAAAACCCAAGCUAGUAAGUAAAGACUAUUUGAUUUGAGCCUAAGGGGAAAUCAUUUUAUUCACAUACACUCUGGUCAUUUAAUAGUUGUAUGACCUGAACAGUUAUUUGCUAUUGAGCACUUUCUAUGUGCCAGAUCCUUUGCUACAUGGUUUAUACCUAUUAUCUUAUAAAUUAUUCAUAAUGGUCCUUUGCAUACAUCCUUGUGUUUUCUCUGUGAGAAGCCCGAGGCUUAGAGGAGUGCAGUAAUUACUGAAGAUCCUCUAAGUAGUGUGAUGAUGCUGAUAGCUGAGCCUCAGUGUCUUCAAAUGUGAAAUGCAAAAUGUAAUAGCUAAUCUCCCAGAGUACUCGCCAUGAAUAAAUGAAGGUGUAUACAAUACAUAAGAUAUAUAGAUCUAUAAAAUAAAACUAUAAAUUUUUAAAUUAAAAAAUAUGUACACACACACUUAUGUAUAUAUGUUUUUCUGGUACAUAAUAAUCACUUAAUAACAUUAUUUUAACUACAGAGACCAAUUUGUUUCUGUAGAGGAAUACAUGGUGAGAAGUAAACUUUCAUUUGAGGUUUGCUAACAUAUUCUGUAGACAGAGUUUCUGUCAUCUUCCUGCUCAGAGUUUGUUGAAAAUCAUUUAUGUAUUCCAUUAGUUAUGUGAAUUAUUCACUGAUACGACUCUCCUGCUUUUACUUCAGGUGAUGAUGGCAGGGCUUUUAACCUCUCAUUCAACUUCUAAUUGGAAAGAGACCCUUUCUCCCUGGGUGCCUUUCCCUGCCACACUGUGUGCUCCGAAAAGGCAGGACCAAAUUUGGUCAAGAAUACUUUCCUGGCCUGUGCACCUACCAUCUCCUAGUAAGUCAGACAGAGUCCCUGGAAACCUCCCACAGAAAAGUCACUGGAUGGAGUUCCUGUUGCGGCGCAGUGGUUAAAGAAUCUGACUAGGAACCAUGAGGUUGCGGGUUCGGUCCCUGCCCUUGCUCAGUGGGUUAACGAUCCGGCGUUGCCGUGAGCUGUGGUGUAGGUUGCAGACGCGGCUCGGAUCCUGCGUUGCUGUGGCUCUGGCAUAGGCCAGUGGCUACAGCUCCGGUUGGACCCCUAGCCUGGGAACCUCCAUAUGCCGUGGGAGCAGCCCUUUCUUAGAAAAGGCAAACAGACAAAAAAGAAAAAAAAAGAAAAGUCACUGGAAAAUAUAGUCAACCCACCAAAUUCUGUUUAUUCAGGAAGAAAGAUUCUUGGACCCAGGGGUCCUUCUUCUACCCUCUAUUUCCAGGCACUCCCCAGGUGUUAGCUUAACCUGAUAUAAUGUAUCUCUGCUAAAACAUUUGUUAGGGGUUAUCUGUCAAAAUGAUUAAAGAUUUUCCCUAGUAUAUAGAAACAUAUAGCACAAAACCUGGAGAAGUUAAUUCUAAUAUGGUAUCAGUAGAGGGAUAGAUAAAUAGACUCAUGGAAGAGACAGGGUGCAGAUCAUGCCUUCAUCCCAACUAUUAUGUUUAUAUGAUAAACAUGAUAAAUGUGGCAUUUCAAACUAGUAAAGGAAGAAGAGACUAUUUUAUUAUACCCAUCUGGAAAAAAAUAAAAAUAAUAUUUCUCUCAUAUUAUCUAAAACAAAUUCCAGGUGGAUUAAAAUUCUAAACACAAAAAAACUAUAUUGUCUUAGAAAAAGUAUAGGAGAAUAAUUUUACUAUCUUGACAUCAAACCCUGAAGCCAUAAAGGAAAGAUUGGAGUAGUUGAUUAUAAAAAUUAAAAACUCUGACACAAAAUAUAUGUAAAUACAGAAAACACAUUCAGUAGCAUCUUUGCAAGGAUUACCUCCUAUGAAGGUGUUGUAAAGGACAUGUAAUCAUAUAACUUGGGAUACAGAAAUACAUUGAAAAGAAAAAUGUUUAGAGAAAAGAUACAUUUAUCUAUCUUUUAUCUGUCUACCUAUCUAUCUGAAAAAAAUAGGGUAGGAUCAUUUACACUUUUACCUGUAUCAACCCUAUUUAUUUUAUUAGUAGAUAUUAUUGUUUUCAUCUUUGGUUACAUGAUUGUAGAAUGUCCUCCCUCCCCCACUUCUACUCCCCUCUUAUCUUCUGAAAAAGAUUGUAAUAUAAGAGCCUGCCUUUAAAGAUUGACUUUUAAAGAUCUGAAAUUUAUUUUAAGCUGAAAUAAAAUGUUGACUAAAAUAGUCUAUCCUCAGACUCACUGUUUGACCUAUAACCGCAAUUAUUCUCUUUUUUUACUGUCCAAUGACAUACCACAAAAUUCUUUUUUGAUUUGGAUCUCUGCAGGUCUUUGCAGCUGGAAAUUGUUUCCAACUCCUGUUUAGGGCAAGAGAAAUUCGGAGUUGGAAGGAAGGUUAGAAUUGAUCUAGUCAAAUCUCCAUUCCAACUUGUAUUCCCUCCACAAAAUCCCCUCUUGAUCCAUUAAUGUGCCCAUGCAAGCUACUGUAGUCAGUGUGAAAGAGACAAAGAACACAGAGCAGAAAAAACAGCAGGAAGGGGAGCUGUGGAAAUCCUCACACCCUAAAAUCUCACUAAGUUUUAUAUGUCACUCUACCAAAUAGGAAAAAAAAGUCAAAGAUUGUUUUAUAAAAGGCCUUACUUUCUGAAUAGGACUUCUGUAAGUAAUAAAUGUACAUACAAUGUUGGAACAUUUAUGAGUAUGAAUCAUUCCUAAAUUAUCAGCUCACAUUAUCAUAUAAAUGAUCACUUUUGCUUUCUCUCCCAAUAGUGCUAUAAUUGCUAAUAAAGCAGUUUAUACAUGUUUUAAGUGAGACUACAGUGCUCUAGAAAACUAACAUUUUUAUAUUGCUGUAAUAAUAAAAAUGCAAAAUUAUUCAGGCAGUUUUCAUCGGUUGCCCAAGCCUCCGGAUCAAGUCCCAUUCAGUCCACCCUACAUCUGUAAGGAAAACAAGUCUGACUGAACCCUAAAUAAGGAAUUAUAUCAAGAUCCCAGGCUUGGUAUAUUUAAAGACCAAGAUCAAAUUGCUGCUGAUGAUAUUUGCUCCCAGUCUCUGAGUCUAUCCUCUUUCCAAUCCUAAAAAGUCUACCUAUGAGAAUUUGGGUCUCUAGAAAAGAAAAUUAAUGGAAAAUAAUGAUCCUACCUUUGAUGCAUGGUGGCCAUGAUAUGGACAAUUAAAAAGAAGUUCUCUAGUCUAGUGAAAAGGAUGGUUAAUAUAAUAGUUUGGACUUAAGUGAUGCAGAUUGGCUCUGUG
rnacentral:lncRNA from 1 species